AUGUAGCUUACCACAAAAACCUCUCCUUUUAGUUUUUUUAGAGGAGAAUAUUCCAAGCAGCUUCACCAUCAGUUUAAUGUUUCAGAAUCAUUCUGGUAGCAACUUAUGCAGUGCUGACACAAAAGAAGCCAAUACAGAAUACUAAGAAGAGGUGCAAGUUUGGGCUACUGGGAGGUUCCAGUAUCUGCUAGGAAUUAUGGCCCUGAACCAGGCCUUUAUGAUUGGAUGUGAUGUUAGCUAUGGAACACACAGCCUCCUGCUGCAAGUCUUAUUCAACAGUUCAGAUGGGAUUUGUGUUGUGUAA
rnacentral:lncRNA from 1 species